GGACGAACGCUGGCGGCGUGCCUAAUACAUGCAAGUCGAGCGGACCGGAUUGGGGCUUGCCUUGAUUCGGUCAGCGGCGGACGGGUGAGUAACACGUGGGCAACCUGCCCGCAAGACCGGGAUAACUCCGGGAAACCGGAGCUAAUACCGGAUAACACCGAAGACCGCAUGGUCUUCGGUUGAAAGGCGGCCUUUGGGCUGUCACUUGCGGAUGGGCCCGCGGCGCAUUAGCUAGUUGGUGAGGUAACGGCUCACCAAGGCGACGAUGCGUAGCCGGCCUGAGAGGGUGACCGGCCACACUGGGACUGAGACACGGCCCAGACUCCUACGGGAGGCAGCAGUAGGGAAUCUUCCGCAAUGGGCGAAAGCCUGACGGAGCGACGCCGCGUGAGCGAAGAAGGCCUUCGGGUCGUAAAGCUCUGUUGUGAGGGACGAAGGAGCGCCGUUCGAAGAGGGCGGCGCGGUGACGGUACCUCACGAGAAAGCCCCGGCUAACUACGUGCCAGCAGCCGCGGUAAUACGUAGGGGGCGAGCGUUGUCCGGAAUUAUUGGGCGUAAAGCGCGCGCAGGCGGUCUCUUAAGUCUGAUGUGAAAGCCCACGGCUCAACCGUGGAGGGUCAUUGGAAACUGGGGGACUUGAGGGCAGGAGAGGAGAGCGGAAUUCCACGUGUAGCGGUGAAAUGCGUAGAGAUGUGGAGGAACACCAGUGGCGAAGGCGGCUCUCUGGCCUGCACCUGACGCUGAGGCGCGAAAGCGUGGGGAGCAAACAGGAUUAGAUACCCUGGUAGUCCACGCCGUAAACGAUGAGUGCUAAGUGUUAGAGGGGUCACACCCUUUAGUGCUGCAGCUAACGCGAUAAGCACUCCGCCUGGGGAGUACGGCCGCAGGCUGAACUCAAGGAAUUGACGGGGGCCCGCACAGCGUGGAGCAUGUGUUUAUCGAGCACGCGAGACUUACCAGUCUGACAUCCCUGACACCCAGAGAUUGGGCGUUCCCCUUCGGGGGACAGGGUGA
rnacentral:rRNA from 1 species